CUAAAAUUUUGUGAUAGGCCCCUCCUAUUUUUAUCUUCUGUUGCUAUCCUAGCUGAGAAAGGCUGACAACUUAGCUUAAAACCCCAGUCCAUUUGAGGAUGCUACUCCCAUGGAUUGUUCACGCGACCACAAUAGGGGUCUAUCCCCUGGCUAAUACUGUUGUUACAACAUUGUUAAGCAGCAAAAUUCUUUUGGCAGGGAGCACACUCCGAAAAUUUAAUACAUUACAUAAAACUAUCUUGCAAUGCCGUUGUCCUAGUUAGUUAUGGGAAAUAAAUUGGAUUAAUUAUAUUUGUGUGUCAUAUUAUAAGUAAUGGUUGAGACAUCAGCAACAACCAUGAUCGUUCCUUGAUGUUUUAAAACAUGAUGUUUCCUCUUAGGAAUUGCCAUUACCGUUUUUGCAUCUGUUGUCAAGAAAUUUCAUUCCAAGUGCCUCUCAUCCCCAUACAUGUCUUGGUCUAGACUUCUGGGAGUACUGGAAAAUGGCAUUGUUUUUUUCCAAGUGGACAAUACAAAGAGAGGUGUGUGAUAAACUCAGAGACCAAACACUGGAGGAUUUUUCUCGAACAGAGAUAUAAGUGUUUGUGUUGCACUUUUAGGCUUAGCUGUAUAUAUAAUGGUCCUCAGUUAUAUAUAUACUAGUGGAGACUGUGUGUAGUU
rnacentral:lncRNA from 1 species